GCAUCAAUACAUUUCCAAAUGAAGACAUUAGAAGAAGAAGAAAUGGAAAUAUUACAGCAAGUUGAAUGUAACAUUUCUGAAGCUGUAGCAGAAUAUACAGAAAUAAUAUCCAGUCCUCGGAAGGAUGUACCUAUUGUCACUGAAAGGACAGUCUUAGAUUUACCACAAGAGGAAGAAACAGAUAAAAGGAUUGAGAAGGAAACUGCCAAAGAUAUUUCUGAGGGUACCUCUGUGAACAACAACAUUCAGACAUAUGCUGAAUCUGAAACACAAUUGUCUGAUAAUCUUGCUAAGUCCAUAGCUGUGGAAGAAAAUGCUCAUACAAAUCAUCAAUCUGCCAUUUCCGAAAAAUCACAAAAUGUUGUUACACUGCCUGUUCAAAACUGUAAUAGUUCAAAUCAGCUGUGUUCAGUCGACUUUUCUCCGACCAGUAUCAGUUACGAAACCCAGUUAUCUUACAGUUCUCUAGACACCGACAAUGAUGAUGCUUUAUCUCAUGUUUCAGGUCCCAUAAAUUCUAAUCAUAUAGGUAACAAUUAUUCUAGACAGAUUUCCACUUUGUCCUCAUCAAAAACAUUACAUUGUUUGCCUCCCUGCAGAAUAUGUGAAGAGAAAGCUUCAGGUUUCCAUUAUGGUGUGAAUACAUGUGAAGCCUGCAAGGGUUUUUUCCGUAGAAGCAUUAAAAGGGUAACCCAAUAUAAAUGUGUAGAGUCAAAUAACAGUUGUGUGAUAGAACAAGGGAAAAGAAAUAUAUGUCCUAAAUGUAGAUUUGACAAGUGUGUAAAGGUUGGCAUGUCCAAAAGUGCAAUUAAAACUGGUCGUUACACCCAUGAAAAAAGAUCUCAGGAUAUCAGAGAAGUAAAGAAACUUGAGACAGGAACCCAUGACUUUGUUCCUGCUGUAAUUUCAAGUCAAAAUAUGGAAGAGUCAAAAGAUUUGGUAAUGAUGCUUGUCCAGGCUCAGAAGGAUAUGUAUGGACCUCAAUUUGAAUAUUGGACUAACGAUGAGACCAUUUAUAAACUAGCUCAAGAUUAUCUCAGGCAGCAUAAAGCCAAAACAGACAUAUUUGGAGACCUGAACAAGCUCCCUGAAGAUGAAUUUAAGAACUUCUACAAUACAACUGGCAUUGAUAUAGAUAACAGAAUAGAACUGAUGAGUGAAAUAGCUACAACAUUAGAAAAUGGAGUCUCUAAAUACAUUAACUUUGUUAAAAACAUUCCAGGAUUCAUUGGCUUAUGUUUGGAAGAUCAAGCAGCCUUGAUUAAAGUAUCCAGAUUUGAGUUUUGGUUUAUUGGUUACCAACGGUUCGUUUGUCAUAACUUAGAAGUGACCACUGGAGGGAUGAAACAGUGUCAUCAUAAGACAGAAUUAGCUAAGGUUGUUGGCAGUGAAUUUGUAGAAGAACUUUUUGAACACAGUAGGAAAAUUCAAAGUUUAAAGUUGACUUGUGAUGAUAUUGCUGUAUUGAGGUCAUUCCUUGUGGUCUCCCCUGAUAGAUGUACCUUAAAAGACAGAGAUGCUGUAGAGAAAAUCCAAUGGAAACUACUUAUGUGCAUGAAAUAUUUAUUUGAGGUAAACCAUAAACCAGAGGAACGAUACCUUUCCAAGGUAUUAGACAGAGUGGCUAGUCUUCGAGUACUAUCAGAAAUGAAUGAGAAGAGGGCACAAUCAAUAAAGCUAGAAUGGCCAAUUUUGAAGAACCACCCCUUAUUAGUAGAGCUUAUGUCUGGUUAAUACUGCUGAUGUUGGUGUUUGAUUUAUAGCGUACCAUAAAUUGUUGAUAUAUAUAGUAUGUGUCUGGUCAGGUCAUUCCUUCUGUCCUGAAAAUAUGAUUUUGAAAGAAAUGACUGCCAGUGAGAGGAAUAAUUGAGUAAAAUUUUACUAUUUCUAUGUUGUUGAGUAGCUCGUUUGAAGGAGGAGCCUGAUUAUAUAAAUUGCUGAAUCAUUGUGAGGAAAGCAAGUUCAUUCAGCAACAAGUGUUCAAAGAAAAAGUAAAGACAAUGAAAAAUAUGGAAUGAUUCUUUUCAAAAAGAAAUGUUCUCAUCUAUUCCAUCAUGUUGUUUUCUCAGUUGUCCUUGACACCUCAUCAGGACAUUUAGACCCAUGACAUUAUUUACUUUAUUGAGUGUUUCUAAUAGUCUGUCUUUCUUGGGAUACAAUGACUCAGGCUACAGGUUUGGCUUUGAAAUGCACACAGAUGUUGAGGCAUUUGUAUUCGAUAGUACCUACUUCAUAUGGAAUUGCUAUCACAAUGAUUGUACCAUAUAACUAUAGUGACAUGGUCUUUGAAAAGCUUUCUGUAAAAUAUAUGUAGAGGAAAAUGACCUAUUAACUAUGUAUUUAUUAUUGUUUAAGCUAGCAGGUUAUACAAAACUUCAUUGAGAAAUUUUAUUGUCUGAAAAACAUCAUGUCACCAUAUUUUUCUACUGGUAAUUUUCUUCCUUCAACAGCUUUCUUACAUUGAACAGAAACGCUGGAUUUAAAAAUGCAUACAGUUCAGUGUUCUCCCCAGGAUUUUUGAACAGCACCAGGGUAAUGGUGAAAUGAUUCGUACAAUCAGUCAUGUCGCAUUGUGUCGCUUAGCUAUAUUUCUAGUUACUGUAGUUUUUAUACGACCGCAAAAAAAUUUUGUGGUCGUAUAUUGGUAUGACGUUGGCGUUGUCGUUGUCGUCUUCGAAGACACAUCGGUUUUCGCACUCUAACUUUAGUUUAAGUGAAUGGAUCUCUAUGAAAUUUUACCAUAAGGUUCAAUACCACAAAAGGAAAGUUGGGAUUGAUUUUGGGGGUUAUGGUACCAACAGUUAAGGAAUUAGGGGCCAAAAAUAAGCAUUUUUGUAACUUCCAGACAUAACUUGUGUGUUAGUGUAUGGAUCUCUCUGACAUUGUACCACAAGGUUCCAUAUCACAAAGGGAAUCCUGGGAUUGAUUUUGGGGGUAAUUGCCUCCAAAUUUUAGGAAUUACGGGCCAAAAAAGAGGCAAAAAACAAGCAUUUUUCUAGUUUCAUGACAAUAACUUGUGUGUAAGUGUAUGGAUCUUUCUGAAAUUGUACUACAAGGUUCCAUAUCACAAAGGGAAAGCUGAGUUUGAGUUUGGGGGUAAUUGCCCUAAACGUUUAGGAAUUUGGGGCCAAAAAACAAGCAUUUUUCUAGUUUCCAGACAAUAACUUGUGUUCAAGUGUAUGGAUCUCUCUGAAAUUGUACUGCAAGGUACCAUACCACAAAGGGAAGGCUGGGAUUGAGUUUGGGGGUGAUGAAUCAUAAGUGGGUUCAAAAAAUUUAGGGGAGGUUUUUUUUUUUUCUUUAAAAUUUUCCAUUUUAAAUUGGUUAUUUCUGAUUUAUAUAUAAAAGCAAAUAAUAAUGAUAUGGUUUGAAUAGGUUAAUUAAAAUUUUUUUAAGUUCUUAGACCACAUUCAUUCUGUGUCAGAAACCUAUGCUGUGUCAAAUAUUUAAUAACAAUCCAAAUUCAGUGCUGUAUCAAGCUUGAAUGUUGUGUCCAUACUUGUCCCAACUGUUCAGGGUUCGACCUCUGCGGUCGUAUCAAGCUGCGCCCAGCGGAAUAUUUUAUCAUGUCUUUUGUUUUGUUUUAAUACUGUGGUACUGUGUUAUGUAGACAUUGAGUCAGAAAAUUAUUUGUAAAAAAGAAGUAAAUCAAUAAACAGUCUUUUAAAAAUAAAUAAAACAUGACUCAUUACAUAUAUAUAAUUUUCAUCUAAAUAAUUAUUGUAAUUAAAUCUUUUAUAAAAUCCAUGAUCAAUAAAAAUAAAAUCUCAUUCAAAGGAAAACAAAAAUGUUCUAGUUUCUAGAUAGAAAGUUGUUGUAUAUAAAAGGAUUCCUGCCAUGAGGAGAUAUAAAAUACAAGAAGAAAUAUUGUUAUAUUAUUUGAACCAGUUUCUAUCUUAAAUUUUAAUAAAAAGAAAUUUUUCAUAAACUUUAAAACAUUUUGCUAUAAAUAUAAAUUUCAUGUAAAUAUUAACCUUUCUUGUCUUUGGUGAUAAUCAAACAUAGAUGCAAACUAAAUACUGCACUAAAAUCUAAAUCUUUAUUUGUCAUGAUCCAUUUAAAAAGAAUUCCUAAAUCUAUUUAUCUUAGGUCUAUAGAUCUAUAAGUAACCAUAUUCAAUGUCAACAACAAAGUCUCCCUAUUUUCCCGCCUAAUUGACAGGAAGUAGAUAUAAAUAGAUUUUAGAUGUGCUUAUGGAUAAUGUUUGCAAAAUUACUUCUUUUAUUCUUUAAUUUUGGAUAUAGAUAUCCAGUUUAAAGGUACAGUCAUGCAUUUUAUUAUUAUUAUAAAAUAGAUUGCAAUUAAUUGUAAAUAAACUUGAACUUUCUACUUGAAUUAACUGGGUCAUGUGAUAUGUACAGAUGUCCCUCCCCUUUAAAUUACUUGUUCACAGGUACUAAAGUUUGAAACCCGACUAUCAUGCAAUAACUUUGUCAUAAAGAUAAUUUUGGCCAUGGUUUAAUGUAGAACGGACAUCCUGAAUUUUGAUAAUCGUAUAUUUCUGACAAGGAAAGCUUGUUCUACGUGCUUCAUAAAGAAAUGCGAAAUGUAUAAAUGUCAAUUAUCUGUAAUGAGCCAACAACUAUUUAGUAUGUACAAAAAAAAUGUUCUGGGGUGCUUACAACUAUCGGCACUGGUUGUGUACAAAGUAUUUGCCUACUUGUCACAAGUCAGCGCUUGGGUGGUGAGUGAAGCCAUAAAAUUGUUAUCUGUCAUCAUACAGGAGUAGGGGCAAUAAGGCCCUUGUUUGGCCCAAAUAUUACUACAAAUUUAAAAGUUAUCAUACAUAUUCUUAAAUUUGUCCAAACUAGACUAAGGUACAAGGUAUUCAGAAAAUGAAAACAAAUUUCACAUUGAACGAGUUACCAUGAUAUGGCAACAAACCAUGACAAAAUUUGCAUAUUUUGUAAGAUUUCUUGAUUUUCCUUGUUUUCAUCAAAUUCUAAGUAUAUUUUAGAUUGGAAAGGUAUGUGUGCUCCCAAGAAACAACUUUGUAUUUGUUAAGAUUAUGUUUACAGUUAUAAUAAAAUUUCACUUAAAUUAUUUUGUUGUUUCUUGGCUGCGCAUGAUGUUGCCACAAUGGAAAACUGCAUGAAUUCUGUAUUUUUCAUCGUUUUUGUGAAAAUAUUAUAUAUUAUAACGUAAUUGUGACGCCAUCAGAUACAAAUCUUUAUGUUUUUAUGCCCACGCAGUGGGGGCAUUAAGUUUUACCCUUGUCCGUCUGUACGUACGAAAUUGGUUUCCGUUCUAACUUGAGUUUGCCUCAACCAAUUGUUAAGAAACUAAUACACAAUGCUUAUUACCACAAAACACUGAUCAAGUUUGAAUUUUGGUGGUGUCACUUUAACUGUUCUAGAGUUAUGCCCCUUUAUAAAUGGAAAAAUUGCAAAAUUCUUAGUUUCCGUUCUCUAACUUAAGUUUGCCUCAACCAAAUGUUAUGAAACUUAUACACAAUGCUUAUUACCACAAAACACAGAUCAAGUUUGAAUUUUGGUGGCGUCACUUCAACCGUUCUAGAGUUAUGCCCCUUUAUAAAUGGAAAAAUUGCAAAAUUUUUAUUUUCUUCUAAAUAUCAAGUAAUUUUUAAAAUUGGAGUUAUCUUCCUUUGUCCAUGAUUAUAUUUGAAACAACUUCAAUCAAUGCUUUAUACAAUGCAAUGUUUAAUUUUGACUUCCACUGAUAAAACACAGAUCAAGUUGAAUUUGGGUAGUGUCACUUUAACCAUUAUUGAGAUAUGCCCUUUAUAAAUCGAAAGAUUGCAAAAUUUUUAGUUUCCAUUCUGUAACUUAAGUUUGUCCCAACCAAACAUUAUGAAACCUAUACACAAUAUUCAUUACCACAAAACUAAGAUCAAGUACAAAUUUUUUGUUUCCGUUUUCUAACUUUAGUUUGCCUCAACCAAAUGUUUUGAAACUUAUACACAAUGCUUAUUACUACAUAAUACAGAUUAAGUACGAAAUUUGGUGGCGACACUUUAACCAUUCUUGAGUUAUGUCACUUUAUAAACAUAAAAAUUGCUGAAUUUUUCGUUUCCGUUCUCUAACUUUAGUUUGUCUCAACCAAAUGUUAUAAAACUUAUACACAACCGUUCUAGAGUUAUGCGUGUUUACAAAUAGAAAAAUUGCUGAAUUUUUAGUUUCUGUUCUCUUCUUAAGUUAGCCUCAACCAAAUGUUAUGAGACUUACACACAAUGUUUAUUACCACAAAACUCAGAUCAAGUUCAAAUUUGGGUAGCGUCACUUUUACCGUUCUUCAGUUAUGUCCCUUUAUAACUAUAUGAUAUGCAAGCGGGGGCAUCAUCUGUUACCACAUGUGGACACUAUCCACAUUUAUUCAUUUAUAUUUCUUGACUCUAUGAUUUCCAAACAUUAUGUACCAAUUUGAAAUAGUUGUCAAGCAUUUUAUUUUCUUUGGCCAAAACCGGGCCAUAAAUUAAAAAUGCCCCUACUC